rnacentral:rRNA from 1 species
CCUACGGGAGGCAGCAGUGGGGAAUAUUGCACAAUGGGGGAAACCCUGAUGCAGCGACGCCGCGUGAGUGAAGAAGUAUUUCGGUAUGUAAAGCUCUAUCAGCAGGGAAGAAAAUGACGGUACCUGACUAAGAAGCCCCGGCUAACUACGUGCCAGCAGCCGCGGUAAUACGUAGGGGGCAAGCGUUAUCCGGAUUUACUGGGUGUAAAGGGAGCGUAGACGGCUGCGCAAGUCAGGAGUGAAAUCCCAGGGCUUAACCAUGGAACUGCUUUUGAAACUGUGCAGCUAGAGUGCAGGAGAGGUAAGCGGAAUUCCUAGUGUAGCGGUGAAAUGCGUAGAUAUUAGGAGGAACACCAGUGGCGAAGGCGGCUUACUGGACUGUAACUGACGUUGAGGCUCGAAAGCGUGGGGAGCAAACAGGAUUAGAUACCCCAGUAGUC